UACGUAGGCAGCAAGCGUUGUUCGGAGUUACUGGGCGUAAAGGGUGCGUAGGCGGCUUCUUAAGUCUGGUGUGAAAUCUCCCGGCUCAACUGGGAGGGUGCGCCGGAUACUGAGGGGCUAGAGUGUGGGAGAGGAAAGUGGAAUUCCUGGUGUAGCGGUGAAAUGCGUAGAUAUCAGGAGGAACACCUGCGGUGUAGACGGCUCUCUGGACCACUACUGACGCUGAAACACGAAAGCGUGGGUAGCAAACAGG
rnacentral:rRNA from 1 species